AGUGAACGCUGGCGGUAGGCCUAACACAUGCAAGUCGAACGGCAGCACAUUAAGAGCUUGCUCUUACGGGUGGCGAGUGGCGGACGGGUGAGGAAUACAUCGGAAUCUACUUUUUCGUGGGGGAUAACGUAGGGAAACUUACGCUAAUACCGCAUACGACCUACGGGUGAAAGCAGGGGAUCUUCGGACCUUGCGCGAUUGAAUGAGCCGAUGUCGGAUUAGCUAGUUGGCGGGGUAAAGGCCCACCAAGGCGACGAUCCGUAGCUGGUCUGAGAGGAUGAUCAGCCACACUGGAACUGAGACACGGUCCAGACUCCUACGGGAGGCAGCAGUGGGGAAUAUUGGACAAUGGGCGCAAGCCUGAUCCAGCCAUACCGCGUGGGUGAAGAAGGCCUUCGGGUUGUAAAGCCCUUUUGUUGGGAAAGAAAAGCAGCAGGUUAAUACCCCGCUGUUCUGACGGUACCCAAAGUAUAAGCACCGGCUAACUUCGUG
rnacentral:rRNA from 1 species